UGACAGUCACAUACAGCAGGAAAGACAUAGGGUUCGAUGCUCCCCUCUGCUUUUUGCUGGUUGAGGAGAGAUAAAGCUGGCUGAACCACGUGGUGAGGCACAGAGAGGGAGAGCAGUAGCUACACUGCAUGCUUCCCUCUCGCCCUGAGCCCACAGGAGCUACUCUGCAGCCAUACUGCCGUAGUCGGAGCUCUGCAAGUUGGAAGGAGGCAUGCUGCAGAGGACCAUGGAGCCAGGCAAAGCUUCACAUGAUCUCAAAUGUAUCCCUUUGGUAGUAUAAAGCACAAGUCAGGAGAAACCUCACCUCUCACACCUGUGUGGUUGAUUCUCCAUGGAACAGAGAUAAAACUAGAGGACUUCACAAAGCCUGUUUCCCCGACUCUCCAAAAUGUCAAGGAUGAAGUCUGGGCCUCCAGCCUGCUCUCUCUCUCCAGAAACCCUCAGCGAAAGGAUCACAGAUGCCAACCCCUAACAUUGAAAGACAGGUCAACUCCUGCCUGGGUCUGACUCAGCAUGACAAUAAGGAAUAGUUCAGAUUACAGCUGAAGCCAUGCUAACAACAGCAAUAUUUAAAACCAGUUAUUGCCAACUUUAGUAGUAUGGACAAGGCCAAAAUGGGAAUGCCCUUCCAGAGAAUUUGAGAUUUCGGAUGCCAACACUUCUUGCAACAUAUGGGGCGUAUUCAUAAGUACUGCAGUACACAGAGAACUUCUACUGCAUUAGAAGAAGGAAUGUUAAAACAAAGAGUGAUUGAUUAUCUUUCAAUUAUCUCUGCUGUUCCUACAAUCCAUUUGAAAAUAAAGUUCUAUAUCUUAAAUGUAACAAUAUUAGUGAGAGUUUUAUUGUAUCUUUACAUUGAAAAUGUCCAGUACUUACAUUUUACAGAGAAAGAGAUCUGAAAUGUUCACACAGAUCACAUUCUUCCCAUUCCCCACACACUCGGAUGCACACAACACACCUGGGUGAAUG